rnacentral:rRNA from 1 species
UUGAAGAGUUUGAUCAUGGCUCAGAUUGAACGCUGGCGGCAGGCCUAACACAUGCAAGUCGAACGGUAACAGAAAGCAGCUUGCUGCUUUGCUGACGAGUGGCGGACGGGUGAGUAAUGUCUGGGAAACUGCCUGAUGGAGGGGGAUAACUACUGGAAACGGUAGCUAAUACCGCAUAACGUCGCAAGACCAAAGAGGGGGACCUUCGGGCCUCUUGCCAUCGGAUGUGCCCAGAUGGGAUUAGCUUGUUGGUGGGGUAACGGCUCACCAAGGCGACGAUCCCUAGCUGGUCUGAGAGGAUGACCAGCCACACUGGAACUGAGACACGGUCCAGACUCCUACGGGAGGCAGCAGUGGGGAAUAUUGCACAAUGGGCGCAAGCCUGAUGCAGCCAUGCCGCGUGUAUGAAGAAGGCCUUCGGGUUGUAAAGUACUUUCAGCGGGGAGGAAGGGAGUAAAGUUAAUACCUUUGCUCAUUGACGUUACCCGCAGAAGAAGCACCGGCUAACUCCGUGCCAGCAGCCGCGGUAAUACGGAGGGUGCAAGCGUUAAUCGGAAUUACUGGGCGUAAAGCGCACGCAGGCGGUUUGUUAAGUCAGAUGUGAAAUCCCCGGGCUCAACCUGGGAACUGCAUCUGAUACUGGCAAGCUUGAGUCUCGUAGAGGGGGGUAGAAUUCCAGGUGUAGCGGUGAAAUGCGUAGAGAUCUGGAGGAAUACCGGUGGCGAAGGCGGCCCCCUGGACGAAGACUGACGCUCAGGUGCGAAAGCGUGGGGAGCAAACAGGAUUAGAUACCCUGGUAGUCCACGCCGUAAACGAUGUCGACUUGGAGGUUGUGCCCUUGAGGCGUGGCUUCCGGAGCUAACGCGUUAAGUCGACCGCCUGGGGAGUACGGCCGCAAGGUUAAAACUCAAAUGAAUUGACGGGGGCCCGCACAAGCGGUGGAGCAUGUGGUUUAAUUCGAUGCAACGCGAAGAACCUUACCUGGUCUUGACAUCCACAGAACUUUCCAGAGAUGGAUUGGUGCCUUCGGGAACUGUGAGACAGGUGCUGCAUGGCUGUCGUCAGCUCGUGUUGUGAAAUGUUGGGUUAAGUCCCGCAACGAGCGCAACCCUUAUCCUUUGUUGCCAGCGGUCCGGCCGGGAACUCAAAGGAGACUGCCAGUGAUAAACUGGAGGAAGGUGGGGAUGACGUCAAGUCAUCAUGGCCCUUACGACCAGGGCUACACACGUGCUACAAUGGCGCAUACAAAGAGAAGCGACCUCGCGAGAGCAAGCGGACCUCAUAAAGUGCGUCGUAGUCCGGAUUGAGUCUGCAACUCGACUCCAUGAAGUCGGAAUCGCUAGUAAUCGUGGAUCAGAAUGCCACGGUGAAUACGUUCCCGGGCCUUGUACACACCGCCCGUCACACCAUGGGAGUGGGUUGCAAAAGAAGUAGGUAGCUUAACCUUCGGGAGGGCGCUUACCACUUUGUGAUUCAUGACUGGGGUGAAGUCGUAACAAGGUAACCGUAGGGGAACCUGCGGUUGGAUCACCUCCUU